rnacentral:rRNA from 1 species
GAUGAACGCUGGCGGCGUGCCUAAUACAUGCAAGUCGAGCGAACGGACGAGAAGCUUGCUUCUCUGAUGUUAGCGGCGGACGGGUGAGUAACACGUGGAUAACCUACCUAUAAGACUGGGAUAACUUCGGGAGACCGGAGCUAAUACCGGAUAAUAUUUUGAACCGCAUGGUUCAAAAGUGAAAGACGGUCUUGCUGUCACUUAUAGAUGGAUCCGCGCUGCAUUAGCUAGUUGGUAAGGUAACGGCUUACCAAGGCAACGAUGCAUAGCCGACCUGAGAGGGUGAUCGGCCACACUGGAACUGAGACACGGUCCAGACUCCUGCGGGAGGCAGCAGUAGGGAAUCUUCCGCAAUGGGCGAAAGCCUGACGGAGCAACGCCGCGUGAGUGAUGAAGGUCUUCGGAUCGUAAAACUCUGUUAUUAGGGAAGAACAUAUGUGUAAGUAACUGUGCACAUCUUGACGGUACCUAAUCAGAAAGCCACGGCUAACUACGUG